UACCAGCACCCCGAGUGGUCGGGACGAUUAUUGGGCCUAAAGCAUCCGUAGCCGGCCUUACAAGUCCCCCGUUAAAUCCAACUGCUUAACAGAUGGGCUGCGGAGGAUACUAUAAGACUAGGAGGCAGGAGAGGCAAGCGGUACUCAGUGGGUAGGGGUAAAAUCCGUUGAUCCAUUGAAGACCACCAGUGGCGAAGGCGGCUCACUGGCCCGGUACUGACGCUGAGGUGCGAAAGCGUGGGGAGCAAACAGG
rnacentral:rRNA from 1 species